rnacentral:rRNA from 1 species
UGGGGAAUAUUGCACAAUGGGCGCAAGCCUGAUGCAGCCAUGCCGCGUGUGUGAAGAAGGCCUUCGGGUUGUAAAGCACUUUCAGCGAGGAGGAAGGUGGUGGACUUAAUACGUUCAUCAAUUGACGUUACUCGCAGAAGAAGCACCGGCUAACUCCGUGCCAGCAGCCGCGGUAAUACGGAGGGUGCAAGCGUUAAUCGGAAUUACUGGGCGUAAAGCGCACGCAGGCGGUUUGUUAAGUCAGAUGUGAAAUCCCCGGGCUCAACCUGGGAACUGCAUUUGAAACUGGCAAGCUAGAGUCUCGUAGAGGGGGGUAGAAUUCCAGGUGUAGCGGUGAAAUGCGUAGAGAUCUGGAGGAAUACCGGUGGCGAAGGCGGCCCCCUGGACGAAGACUGACGCUCAGGUGCGAAAAGGCGUGGGGGCAGCAAACAGGAUUAGAUACCCUGGUAGUCCACGCUGUAAAACGAUGUCGAUUUUGGAGGUUGUGCCCUUGAGGCGUGGCUUCCGGAGCUAACGCGUUAAAUCGACCGCCUGGGGAGUACGGCCNCAAGGUUAAAACUCAAAUGAAUUGC